AAACUAACAAGGAUUCCCCUAGUAACUGCGAGUGAAGCGGGAAAAGCUCAAAUUUAAAAUCUGGCAGUCUUUGGCUGUCCGAGUUGUAAUCUAGAGAAGUGUUAUCCGCGCUGGACCGUGUACAAGUCUCCUGGAAUGGAGCGUCAUAGAGGGUGAGAAUCCCGUCUUUGACACGGACUACCAGGGCUUUGUGAUGCGCUCUCAAAGAGUCGAGUUGUUUGGGAAUGCAGCUCAAAAUGGGUGGUAAAUUCCAUCUAAAGCUAAAUAUUGGCGAGAGACCGAUAGCGAACAAGUACCGUGAGGGAAAGAUGAAAAGAACUUUGGAAAGAGAGUUAAACAGUACGUGAAAUUGCUGAAAGGGAAACGCUUGAAGUCAGUCGCGUUGUCCAGGGAUCAACCUUGCUUUUGCUUGGUGCACUUUCUGGUUGACGGGUCAGCAUCAUUUUUGACCAUUGGAAAAAGAUUAGGGGAAUGUGACAUCUUCGGAUGUGUUAUAGCCCUUGGUUGCAUACGAUGGUUGGGAUUGAGGAACUCAGCACGCCGCAAGGCCGGGUUUUUAACCACGUACGUGCUUAGGAUGCUGGCAUAAUGGCUUUAAUCGACCCGUCUUGAAACACGGACCAAGGAGUCUAACAUGCCUGCGAGUGUUUGGGUGGAAAACCCGAGCGCGUAAUGAAAGUGAAAGUUGAGAUCCCUGUCGUGGGGAGCAUCGACGCCCGGACCAGACCUUUUGUGACGGUUCCGCGGUAGAGCAUGUAUGUUGGGACCCGAAAGAUGGUGAACUAUGCCUGAAUAGGGUGAAGCCAGAGGAAACUCUGGUGGAGGCUCGUAGCGAUUCUGACGUGCAAAUCGAUCGUCAAAUUUGGGUAUAGGGGCGAAAGACUAAUC
rnacentral:rRNA from 1 species